ensembl:lncRNA
CUCGGCUCUUGGUUCCGAAGUGGGGAUGGUGGCCGGGGCUGACCUACGUGGUAAAUGGUAAAAUGGGGGAAGCGGUGUAUGGUGGCACUGUGGCAGGGAACGGCCUUUCUCCAGCCUGGUUUGCAUCUACGCGCCGGCAUCCGGGUGUUUUGCCUUCGCUGCUGGUGGAUGAGUUUCUCAAAAUUGGAUUUCCAUGUAAACCUUCAGCAGAAGCUUGGAGGUGCAGAUCGAAGGGGCCUUGCCGCCACCCUCAGGGAUUCCUUCCCUGUGAAAUGUCUUGGUACUGCCAUAUUCCUUCUGCUUUCCGCUAUGUCUGGAAAGUCCCUGGCAAAGUGGGAUCUCUCCAUCCCUUUUGGGCCUGUGUUUUAUGCCACAUGUGUCCAAGUACAGGUGUCCAGGAAGUACCAUCCAUUUGCUCGUCCUGCAUCCUGCUGAUAAUUCAUGGUUACAGACCAGCUAAAAGUGUCUCAUUCGCAGUUAGCUGAUGGAUUUUCUGCGGAGGUCCACAGGGAUGGAAGGCACGAGGAGCUGGCGAAGGGCACCAGAGCUGUGUGGAAUAGAGGGCAGGUGAACACUGCUGCUCGCAGGAAGGGUCCUGCUGCCAGAUUAUGAGCAGUGGCGCAUGAAUGAGGAGCUCUCAGGUUCUGGAGUGAUCAUGUAGACAGGAAUUUUCCUUGCUAGAUCUUUGUUCUGUUUCCCUGCAGUGUCUUCCUGAGUUGAACUGGAAGCUUUGGAUGUCUGCAGCCUACAGAAACGAGCUCUGAAGGAUUUUGUAUGUGGAGUACAAGAAAGAAAACGUCCCAGAACACAUUGGUAGAAAGCUGAGUAUUCCGGAAGAGGUUUACAGUACAGUUCAGCUUUUACACACACAUGUAGCCAGCAGUAUGAGAAGUUUGGCCAUUCUUCAGCAUCGGUGUUGUCCUUAGCCACUAAACACAGAUGAAGCUCUGCAGUAGGCCGUUCUGUUCCUGGUAAGAUUUGCCUCUCUCUUUGACUGUAGUUUCUGACAUCAACGCAAAGUACAACUUGCUGACGUACUGUAGUCCACAGCAGGAGUGUUUUGCCACUGUACCGGUGUUACACUGUCAGAGGGCUCUUAGGAUAGCUAUUAAUUUAGAUGCUUUUAUCAGAUAUACACUGUUUUGAAAUGAAUCUUAGGCAAAUCAUGAUCAGCUAAGUUGUUGAGAGGAGUAGGUGCAAAUUCUGUAAUCACAGUCUGAUUAGGCAAUGGCCUGUCUCCACAGAAGAGAAGCAGCGGGAUACAUACUUCUGCACCAUCUGAAAUUCUAAAUGGCGAAAAUAAAGUGUGUGGUUCUGAUACCAGCUCCAAUUAAGGGAGUUAUGAACACUUAACUGCCUAUUAGUCUGAAUGCACGCAUCUAGUUUUCUGAAUGUGCAAACAUAAAGACUUCAGAUAAUCUGACCUGUGGUACUCUUAAUCUUAAUGAACAGCCCUGAAAUCUGCUUGCAGCCAGGCUAUAAGGAAAUCUGCAGUUAUCACCUCUGUAAACUGGAAAGUUUAGCCCACGGCAGCUACCUACGAGGGAGAAGAUUAUACGAGCAGUCUCCCUCUUCCCCCAAUUAGAUGAGAACUGUUGUACGGUCUGUUUAAAAAUCAGAAUGUGUGGUACUGAGGUUCUGAUUAAAAGGCUUCUACACGAGAAGUAUUGAUUAUAUUUGUGUUGUUGCUGUUCCUAAUUCUUUCACGGAUGCAAUACCUUCUGCUUGCAGUAAAGAAAAGAAUGAGACAGAACUUUACAAAUGAGUAUAAAUCUAGGAUUUACCAUUAUGAUGAAAGAAAGAGAUGUGAUGAAUGGAUGUAAAAUCUCGGAGCUGUAGUGUAAUGAUGGGGUCAUUUCAUCAUGAUGGGUAGAUAUGACAUGCAGUAUUCAGAGCCUUCAAAAAGGGUUUCAUUUAUCAUACUCGAAGAGGCAUCAAAGUGUUUGGGUAUGACUCAAAGCAAAAGAAUCGUUACAAUUUGCCUUUGAACAAACUCAGGAAAUAUAUUGAUCGUAUAGGUUUAUGCUGCUAGGAAAACAGCUAAUGAUGAUUCAGUCUAUGUAUUUUGUGCAUAGCUUGAGGAAAUGUUCAUUAAAACCUUACACCAUGUAUGCCGCUACACCCUUUGGGAACUUAAACAUAAAAGCUGGAAUUUCAAAACCUUAUUAAGUACAAUUUGAGUUUACAGAAAUAGAAUAAUAUAUUUGAAUUCUGGAAUUGUGUGGCCAUAGGUGAGAGAGGAAACUACACCAGAUGAUGUUUGGAGUAAAAAGAAAGCUCUGAUUUCCAAAUGUGCUGGUGCAUAGUGUUCAAUAACAGCAGUAUUGGUCGAUGAAGAUGGUGACUGAGUUCAUUUGAGCUGAUGUUCAAAUGGAUAUUUAACAAAGUGGGCCACGAAUGGGUUUCUAAGGAGAGGACAGAAUACCAGAAAUGGAGCAGAUGAAGCCAGAAGUAGGCUAGACAAGGCAAGAGCAAGCACAGAAGUGAGAAAGCAUGGCUGUGACAGAUGUGAAUGCUUAACAAUACAAAUGUGUUCUCAGUAGCCAGGCUGUGAACCAGAAAUUUGCAAUGACUGGGUAUGGGAAAGUUCAUCAUGGUAGCGGUCACCGGAGAUGAUGAUUCUGAAUGCCAGCAGAGUUCGAACUUACGCUGUUCAUAAAGUGGACUGAUAUGUAUCCACUUACAAUUUUACCAGCAUCUAAAACACUAUUUAUAUCCUGUCUGAAAUUGGCAGGGCAGCUCAUAUGUUCUCCGUGUAAUGUACUGUAACUACACUGUAUCUAGUACGUAAACGUUUGCUUUCUUAAUAUAUUGCUACUGUUCUUUUUAUCUUCCAGACACUGCGUAUUUAUGCCUAAUCUUUUGUAUUUUCAGUUCAGCACAGGCUAAAACUGUCAGCCUCAUUUAUCUGACACUAUUAAAAAUGCAGACAAAGGCUUUCAGCCAGCAUGUGAACAUUGAAGUUGCUACUUUCUAUGUACCCAGUUUUUGCUUAUGGGAUGUCAUUGAUCUAUAUCUGAUCAAUAUUUUUAAAAUUUCCUUUGAGAUCUGC